UGACCGCUGGCGGCGUGCCUACUACAUGCACGUCGAGCGAACAGACGAGGAGCUUGCUCCUCUGACGUUAGCGGCGGACGGGUGAGUAACACGUGGAUAACCUACCUAUAAGACUGGGAUAACUUCGGGAAACCGGAGCUAAUACCGGAUAAUAUAUUGAACCGCAUGGUUCAAUAGUGAAAGACGGUUUUGCUGUCACUUAUAGAUGGAUCCGCGCCGCAUUAGCUAGUUGGUAAGGUAACGGCUUACCAAGGCAACGAUGCGUAGCCGACCUGAGAGGGUGAUCGGCCACACUGGAACUGAGACACGGUCCAGACUCCUACGGGAGGCAGCAGUAGGGAAUCUUCCGCAAUGGGCGAAAGCCUGACGGAGCAACGCCGCGUGAGUGAUGAAGGUCUUCGGAUCGUAAAACUCUGUUAUUAGGGAAGAACAAAUGUGUAAGUAACUAUGCACGUCUUGACGGUACCUAAUCAGAAAGCCACGGCUAACUACGUG
rnacentral:rRNA from 1 species